rnacentral:rRNA from 1 species
UACGAAGGGGGCUAGCGUUGCUCGGAAUCACUGGGCGUAAAGCGCACGUAGGCGGAUCUUUAAGUCAGGGGUGAAAUCCUGGAGCUCAACUCCAGAACUGCCUUUGAUACUGGGGAUCUCGAGUCCGGGAGAGGUGAGUGGAACUCCGAGUGUAGAGGUGAAAUUCGUAGAUAUUCGGAAGAACACCAGUGGCGAAGGCGGCUCACUGGCCCGGCACUGACGCUGAGGUGCGAAAGCGUGGGGAGCAAACAGGG